rnacentral:rRNA from 1 species
GAUGAACGCUGGCGGCGUGCCUAAUACAUGCAAGUCGAGCGAACAGACGAGGAGCUUGCUCCUCUGACGUUAGCGGCAGACGGGUGAGUAACACGUGGAUAACCUACCUAUAAGACUGGGAUAACUUCGGGAAACCGGAGCUAAUACCGGAUAAUCUAUUGAACCGCAUGGUUCAAUAGUGAAAGACGGUUUUGCUGUCACUUAUAGAUGGAUCCGCGCCGCAUUAGCUAGUUGGUAAGGUAACGGCUUACCAAGGCAACGACGCGUAGCCGACCUGAGAGGGUGAUCGGCCACACUGGAACUGAGACACGGUCCAGACUCCUACGGGAGGCAGCAGUAGGGAAUCUUCCGCAAUGGGCGAAAGCCUGACGGAGCAACGCCGCGUGAGUGAUGAAGGUCUUCGGAUCGUAAAACUCUGUUAUUAGGGAAGAACAAAUGUGUAAGUAACUAUGCACGUCUUGACGGUACCUAAUCAGAAAGCCACGGCUAACUACGUG